UAGAUUUGCAGCAGUAGCAGUCAUAGCUAGCCUAGCUAAUGUUGCAGGCACAUUUUUGUGUGAAGUAUUUGAAUGAGUCUGAUGGGAAAAUGUCUGCAAUUUACAACAUGUUCCAGUCAGAAACAACAGCGAUUAUGGCCUUUGUCGUCGAGACGGCAGUUAGAGAAAUUGGCCAACUUCGGCCAAACAUAGCAAAGUCUGACGUUAGUUACGACGUAAGUAAUCCGACGAGAAAGCUUUGCACCAUUAUGAAUCUGGUGGCAGUGGAGGCAGUUCGUAAAAUCUGCCAACUAUUCCUAGUGGCCUCUUCCAAUUUACAACAUGAAAACAAGAAACUGAAGAUCAAGUUUGAGCAGAUGGAUGAAGCCCUGAAGGCCAAGGUGGAGCAGAUGGAAGAAGCCCUGAAGGCCAAGGUGGAGCAAAUGGAUGAAGAUCUGAAGGCCAUGACAGAAAAAGCUGAACAUUACAGAACAUCGCUGGUUAAAGUGCAAACCGAAUCAAAAGGACCAACCCAUGUCCUUCACAAUGGAAUCAUCUUUGAAAUAAAACCAGUCGAACUUCCAAUGUUGCCUGGAAUGACCGUGGCUUCAGCAUUGCCGGGUCAAGCAAACACUGUCAGCAACGCAUCUGCCGUCUGUGCAGGUAUUAUUCUCAAUGUGAUGUAACAAAAUAAUUGUUUAUUCUAGAAUAUACCCAUGGUAUAUUCAUUAGAGAAAGAACAUGGCAAACAGUUGAAAAUCUUAACUGAAAACGCUUUGCAAUGGAGACAAAUUCAGGUUCAUUUCAUGACAUUUGCUUCUGUUGGAUUCUGUUUGUUCCAUUGUGAUUACAUCCCAGACCUGUAUGUAUUGUUUAGCAUUAAUGGUGCCUUCACAGAUUAGGGCACUAAUGCACCCCCCCAUACCAUCACAGAUGCUGACUUUUGUACUGAGCGCUGAUAAGCCGGAAGGUCCCCCUCCUAUUUUGUCCGGAGAUAAUAUUUUAGAUUCCCCAAAAUGAUAAUUUUGAUUUGUCAGUCCAUCUUAAAUGAGUUUGGGCCCAGAGAAGGUGGCGGCAGUUCUUGUUUCCAUAUGUUUUCCUCUUUGCAUGGUGGAUGCAGCGAUGAACUGUGUUCACAGUACAGACAGUGGUUUUCGGUAGGACAUUCUCACUUUUGUUGCCAGCGGUUUAGAGAUUGAUGGCUGUGUGUUUUGUUAUUUUGAGGGGACAGCACAUGUACACUGUAAUACAAGCUGUACACCUCACUACUUUACAUUUUAGAAAAGUCUCAUUUCUUCAGUGUUGUCACAUGAAAAGAUAUAAUCAAAUAUUUACAAAAAUGUGAGGGAUGUACUCACUUUUGUGAGAUACUGUACAUGCACAUUCCUUCACAGAGUGGUGAACCCCUCUCCAUCCUCAAUUCUGAGAGACCCAUCCUCUCUGGAAUGAUCUUUUAAUAUCAAAUCAUGUUACUGACCUGUUGCCAAUUGACCUAAUUAGUUGUGUGAAAUUCCACCAGGUUUAGUUUUUUAGCAUUACACAACUUUUCCAGUCUUUUGUUGCCUCUGCCACAACAGUUUUGAAA
ensembl:lncRNA